rnacentral:rRNA from 1 species
UAAGGAAUAUUGGUCAAUGGGCGGAAGCCUGAACCAGCCAUGCCGCGUGCAGGAAGACGGCCCUACGGGUUGUAAACUGCUUUUGUACCGGAAUAAACCACAGUUCGUGAAUUGUGCUGAAUGUACGGUAAGAAUAAGGAUCGGCUAACUCCGUGCCAGCAGCCGCGGUAAUACGGAGGAUCCAAGCGUUAUCCGGAUUUAUUGGGUUUAAAGGGUGCGUAGGCGGCCUGUUAAGUCAGGGGUGAAAGACGGUAGCUCAACUAUCGCAGUGCCCUUGAUACUGAUGGGCUUGAAUGUACUAGAGGUAGGCGGAAUGUGACAAGUAGCGGUGAAAUGCAUAGAUAUGUCACAGAACACCAAUUGCGAAGGCAGCUUACUAUGGUAUGAUUGACGCUGAGGCACGAAAGCGUGGGGAUCAAACA